GCCCGCAGUAGCGCAGCGCCCAGCCCGUUGUGCGCUUCGGCCGUGCGCGGCGCCAGUUCCAGCGCGGCCCGCAGGCGC
rnacentral:tRNA from 1 species